AUGGUUCAAAAGUGAAAGACGGUCUUGCUGUCACUUAUAGAUGGAUCCGCGCUGCAUUAGCUAGUUGGUAAGGUAACGGCUUACCAAGGCAACGAUGCAUAGCCGACCUGAGAGGGUGAUCGGCCACACUGGAACUGAGACACGGUCCAGACUCCUACGGGAGGCAGCAGUAGGGAAUCUUCCGCAAUGGGCGAAAGCCUGACGGAGCAACGCCGCGUGAGUGAUGAAGGUCUUCGGAUCGUAAAACUCUGUUAUUAGGGAAGAACAUAUGUGUAAGUAACUGUGCACAUCUUGACGGUACCUAAUCAGAAAGCCACGGCUAACUACGUGCCAGCAGCCGCGGUAAUACGUAGGUGGCAAGCGUUAUCCGGAAUUAUUGGGCGUAAAGCGCGCGUAGGCGGUUUUUUAAGUCUGAUGUGAAAGCCCACGGCUCAACCGUGGAGGGUCAUUGGAAACUGGAAAACUUGAGUGCAGAAGAGGAAAGUGGAAUUCCAUGUGUAGCGGUGAAAUGCGCAGAGAUAUGGAGGAACACCAGUGGCGAAGGCGACUUUCUGG
rnacentral:rRNA from 1 species